rnacentral:rRNA from 1 species
AAGUUAAAUUGAAUUUAUUUAAUUAAUAAAAAAAAAUUAGGUGAAAUUUUAUUUUUUUAAAAAUUAAUAUAAAAAAUUAUAUUGAAUCUUCAAAAUUUUAUUUUUAAACUAGGAUUAGAUACCCUAUUAUUUAAUUAUUUAAAAAUAUAAAAGUUAGAGUAGUAAUAGUUAUGGUCUUGAAACUCAAAAAAUUUGGCGGUAUUUUAGUCUAUUCAGAGGAACCUGUAAUAUAAUCGAUAAUCCACGAUGGAUCUUUCUUAAUUUUGUAAUUUAAUUUGUAUAUCGCCGUUAUUUGAAAAUUUUAUAAGAAAAAUAAUUUUCUAAAAUUUUUAUUAAAAAAUAAAUCAGGUCAAGGUGCAGUUUAUAGUUAAGUUUUAUAUGGGUUACAAUAAAAUUAUUUAAACGAAUUAAAAAAUGAAAUAUUUUUAGGAAGGUGGAUUUGAUAGUAAAUUUUUAAAGAUAAAAAAAUUGAUUUUAGCUCUAAAAUAUGUACACAUCGCCCGUCGCUCUUGUUAAUAAUAUA